CUCUUUACUGCUGAGCCAGCUGGGAAGCCCCAAAUAACAAGCCACUGUGCAGCAAGGCCAGGCCAUGAGACCAGUUUUGCCAAAUACAGUGUGAGUGCAAGUGAUGCAUUACUCAUCUGAAUGAUGUUAUAAAUAAAUCACCCAGGAAACUCCCUGAUGAACCAAUGGUUUGAUUUUCUGUGCUUUCGCUGCCUGGAGGGCCUGAAUUCAGGCUCUGGUCAGGGAACUAACAUUCUUCAAGCUGCAUGGCAUGUCAAAAAAAAAAAAAAA